UCGAGCGGAGAGAGGUAGCUUGCUACUGAUCUUAGCGGCGGACGGGUGAGUAAUACUUAGGAAUCUGGCUAUUAGUGGGGGACAACAUUUCGAAAGGGAUGCUAAUACCGCAUACGUCCUACGGGAGAAAGCAGGGGAUCUUCGGACCUUGCGCUAAUAGAUGAGCCUAAGUCGGAUUAGCUAGUUGGUGGGGUAAAGGCCUACCAAGGCGACGAUCUGUAGCGGGUCUGAGAGGAUGAUCCGCCACACUGGGACUGAGACACGGCCCAGACUCCUACGGGAGGCAGCAGUGGGGAAUAUUGGACAAUGGGGGGAACCCUGAUCCAGCCAUGCCGCGUGUGUGAAGAAGGCCUUAUGGUUGUAAAGCACUUUAAGCGAGGAGGAGGGUACUGGUAUUAAUACUACCAGGUACUGGACGUUACUCGCAGAAUAAGCACCGGCUAACUCUGUGCCAGCAGCCGCGGUAAUACAGAGGGUGCGAGCGUUAAUCGGAUUUACUGGGCGUAAAGCGUGCGUAGGCGGCUAAUUGAGUCGGAUGUGAAAUCCCCGAGCUUAACUUGGGAAUUGCAUUCGAUACUGGUUAGCUAGAGUGUGGGAGAGGAUGGGUAGAAUUCCAGGUGUAGCGGUGAAAUGCGUAGAGAUCUGGAGGAAUACCGAUGGCGAAGGCAGCCAUCUGGCCUAACACUGACGCUGAGGUACGAAAGCAUGGGGAGCAAACAGGAUUAGAUACCCUGGUAGUCCAUGCCGUAAACGAUGUCUACUAGCCGUUGGUCUCUUUGAGGGGAUUAGUGGCGCAGCUAACGCGAUAAGUAGACCGCCCGGGGGAGUACGGUCGCAAGACUAAAACUCAGAUGAAUUGACGGGGGCCCGCACAAGCGGUGGAAGCAUGUGGUUUAAUUCGAUGCAACGCGAAGAACCUUACCUGGUCUUGACAUAGUAAGAACUUUCCAGAAGAUGGAUUGGUGCCUUCGGGAACUUACAUACAGGUGCUGCAUGGCUGUCGUCAGCUCCUGU
rnacentral:rRNA from 1 species